rnacentral:lncRNA from 1 species
CAGCGACUCCUGUUCCGCGCGCGGUGAAGAGGGACAGGAGGCCAGGCGCCGGACGUCCUCCGAGCAGCCGGUGCCUGGAGCUGUGCCUGUGACCCCGUGCAAAGUCGCGCCCCAGGCCGGGCGCCUGCGGUCCCCUCCGCGGGCCAGCG